CGGACGAAAUUAAACCUACGAAAUUAAACCAGCGAAAAAAGUUCCGCUACUCGCACGAGCGAGCGAGCAGCGAGGCGCCCAGAGAGCCCUCGAGCGAGAACCCCGCUGUCGUCUCCCUCAGAAGCAGCCGCCCGCCGAAUCAAAUCGCGCUGCCAGCCUCGUCCGCCUCGCCGUGCCUGCGUCCCUCCCCGGACGGCGGCGACGAUGGAGGGAUCCACUGGCGCUGGCCAGGCCCCCGGCCGAUGGACGCGCCGGAUCGUCGCUCCUCUGGGCCAGCCCCUCCCGCCGCGCUGGAUCACGUGGCAGCCUAGCUUGUCAGAGAUGGCAAAGCUGUUAUAUAUAGGGUACGGCUCCGAGCUAGCCGAUGCCUACUGUAUCCAGUGUUCUGUUGCAUCCGGUGCGACCUCAAAGAAUACCUUCUUCUAGCUGGGCGUUGAGCGCCUCAGGGACGACGAGGUGCAGCGCCUGGGGUGGAAGCAGUUCAACUACACGAUGAAGAAGUGAGUGAAGGGGUUAAGAUGGUUGCGUUGUGCGUGCGCUGCUUGCUUGCCGGUGAGUGUCGCCUCUGUGACUAGGUGUUCUUUGCUGUCUAUGCCCUCUGUAGUUUAAGGUGUUUGUUCUUUUAGCAGCCAUUAAAAUACUGCAAUGUAAAUGAAUGUCUUCUCUAUGUCUACAGCAUGCACUUGAAGUAUAGAACUAAUGGCAGUGUUUUGUCUAUACAAUAUAUUAGUAUGUUAUACAUGUUUUUGAUUCUAAGUGUAUUAUAAAUUAGUAUAGACUAUCUAUCAUCCUUUCAUUCAGUUUUUGCAGAGAAGUUCCGUUGCCUCGCAAAUGUUAAAAAACUUAAAUACAGUGAAUGAUUGUGUUUUCAGAUGGAAAACGCCAUUUCCAGUAAUAGUUGGACAACCUCAAAAGAAUUGCUCGAGUAACAUGUUUCCAAGCAGCAUACUGCAUAAUCUUUCAAAUUAUAGGCAAAGUUAUACAAGAAACACUGACCUAGGAGUUAGUGUAGUACUUUGUUCAUCAUUCCAUAAUUUCUUUGCACCUAGACGUGGAUCCUAAUGGCUUACUAAGAUCUUAAUUUUCCAUCAUGGUGGUUUGAGUUUGUUGCCUGCGCUUAUUACUAGGAAAUGAAGCUCUCAGCCUGGUUCUAACAAACUUAACUGAACUUCUGUACACGAGAUAAAUAAAUACAGUGUAUUAAGAUGUUAAGAGUCCUUAUACUGAUAUUUUAUUUAGUUCUUUUUAUUCAAGGAUACAUUAAUUAAGUUUCAAAGUUAAUUGUCAUUUUUAGUAAAUUGGUGUGUGGUAGCAUUCUUUAGGUAGUUGAUUACGUCACUUGAAUCUUUGCAGCUGUUGCAUAUAGCUUGUGGCUGUGGUUGUCCAGCCGGGUUAUCUCUGGCUGCAGAACACUGUUUUAAAUAGCCCGCUAUAGCGUUUACAAAAGGUCUUGCGUUAAGAGACUUUGAUCCAAAUAAAUGAACAAACAUUUUAAAUAGCGCGCUAUAGCUCCGCUAUAGCACGCUAUAGCUCCGCUAUAGCACGCUAUAGCAUUUGGAAGAGGUCCGUCGCUAAGAUGCUUAGCACGCUAUUUAAAACUAUGCUGCAGAAUCAUCAACGAAAGGAUCCACUGCUGGUCUCAUUGGCCUUGAUCUUCCAUUCACAAGCAAUUAAUGUUUAUGGGAGCACGAAUUCAAAGUAGCACAUUUUCGCGGCUGUGAAAUGCAGCAACAUGUUUGGAUAGCUGACCAAAAAGGAUCUCACUGAAAAACUGAAAUAUUUAAGUAACACGUCAACGACGGCUGCGUCCUGCGUGUUGGCAAGGCGGCGGCGACGGAUGGUGUGCAGGAUGCGGCCUUUUUUGUGUAUAGCUCUCUAAACUUGACAGUUGAGUUUCUUUUUGGUCAUGUUAAAACUGAGUUUCUGUUAGUUCAGUUUGCACAAGCGGCCAUAGUGCGGACCAUCAGGAGACAGGGGCACACAAGCACCAGCACGGCAGCACCACCAUCAGAACACACCAGACGGCUCGCAUAGGGAAUACUUCAAGAUGGACACUGGUGGUACAACAUGGCUUACUAUCAUCUGUUUACACAUGGCUAAUUUGACGGAAUAGCUUUGGCCAUCUUUGAUAUAUGUUACUCCUACUACAGAUUUCGCUCCCUCGUCUCCAAGAAAUUCCCUACUAGCUACACUUGACAUGAGAGUCCAAUUUGAAUUCCCAUAAAUGAGAGGAAAGCUAUGAUUCGUUCGCUCCACUUUUAGCUUUGUAUCUCCCCCUGAAGACAUCCUCCCUGAACUACUUGAUUUCAGCCAUCAGGUCCAGGCUUCUACUGAAUGGUGUCCUCUGUCUCCAGCGCCCAUUUCCGCUUAGCGAGUUGUUGGAUUGCAUCCUACUUCUUAUUUUCCUCCUGCACACCGUCUCCCUUUGUGUCGUCAAUCACGUACUAUAACAUUUGACAAAUAGUAUGUGUUGUGUUGGUGUCAGCAUGCCAGCACUACAUGAAUGAUCCCACUGCUGCAGACUUCAGCCAAUACUGGAAUGAAUGAAACAAUGUCUUCUCAUCAAGGAAAAGACUUGUGUUCUCCUUAUAGAACAUAAUUUAUUAUGUGAGGGAUUUGCCAUUACAACAUCUUGUCCAGGGUAUGAUUUUUCUUCCACUAAACUGAACUGCCUCGCAUACAAUUGUAUGUAAUACCCCCUUUUCCAAAAAUAUAUGACAUCUGCUUGGCGGUAGGCCAUGCUUGGCAUCGCCUCGUCCUGGUCUUCGGCGCUCCUACAGGAACUGGGCGCCAGUGUGGUCGAGCCAAGUACAACACCAACAAGCGACAACAGCGCACCACUCUGAUCCAUGCGGGAAACAUGCAGUGUACAGAGAAAUCAGCGCUUUCACAGGCUGAUAGGAGAAAUUUUUGGGUGGGGCCUGCAUGUUUCGAGAGAAUUGUCGUGUCAUAGUGCUAACUAGGAAAAUGUUGAGGAGGUCCUGUUGCGUCCCAUGUUCAAUAUAAGGGGGUGUUAAAAGGGACUCGAAGCAUUUUCAUGUGUCGAUGGCACGAGAGAUCCUCCCGAUACUCUCCUCAAGGUUGACCCAACUAGAUCCUGAUGCGCCAGCGGCACGGGUGGUCAGGCCUGAGCAGCGAGCUCUUCUGCCCCCUCCUCAUUGGAUCGGCGGCCAGGGAGGCCAGAUCGUGUGGCACGAGAGAAGGCUCAUGUGUGAGGAAGGGGAGCAGCAACAUGCGUCGAUUGGGGAAGGGAGGAGCAACGGGUGCCACUGAAGGGAGGGGAGCAGCGCCAAGCGCGGAGGGAGGGGAGCACGGGAGCCCCAAGGGAGGCGGAGCAGCGGCAGGUGGCGUGGAGGUUGGAGAUCUUGGUGAGGACGGCGCGACGCGAGGUCAUGGUGGCAUGUGUCGGAGCAGUGGUAGGUGGCGUGUGCAGGUAAAUAGCAACAUCACUACCUCUUUUAUUAUGUGCAUAUUACAUUUUGAAUAUUUCAAGUAACCAGAUGGACGUGAACAUAUACACAUAAUCCACUUUCCGGUUGAAGCUUAUUUUCUUGCAUGAGUGGUGAAGAAAAUGAGUGACAAGGAUGAUGAGAAUAAAGGGAGUGCAAUGUGGUUAUUGAAGAAGGGCAAGGAAGAGGAAGACACAUGUUAGUCGGGUGAAGUCAGCAGCGAUCGCUAUCAGUGAUGUUAUUGGCCAAAUAGGUUGUCUAAACAUUUUGCUAGGUCUCCCUCAGGGAUGAUGGUGUAACCUUGUUUCAAGUAGAUAAACAGAAGUGGGCUAAAAGAGUGUCAUAUUACAACAGAUCAGUUGGUGUGAAACUAGAUGUUGGACUAAUACGUAAUGUAAUGGGCAUGAAUGCAUUCUUUUGAGGAUUGGUGGUUGCAGCAGCGCCUGAUCAUGGUUAUAAAUCUUUUUGCUGCUAAAAAGACGUUGUCACUUGGAGAAAUAUAUGAUAGGGCCUGAUUGGAGUUUA